AUAUUUUCUUUCCGAAUUUUCUCUUCUGAGAAACCCUUUUCUUCUUUGGAGUUAAAUCGAAAUUUGGCUUUUAAAUCUUUCGUCAGGAAUCGAGGAUCUCUUACUCCAAUCUUUGAAUCAGUUCUUUUUCUGCUUAUUUAAGCCUAAGCUGCAGAGUUUGAGGCGCUUCUGGAGUUCAUGUUGAGUUUGGGGAAAUGGUUGGAAGAGGGGAAAGAAGAAGGUGAUGAUCCGACCUUCCUCUAAAGUCAGCAUCAAGUUUCUUAUUGCCAUGAAGAAGCAUGGCUCAAACAAAUGUGGGGUUAUUAGUCCUCAUUGUGAUAUUGGCGUUAAAGGAAGUUGAAGGAUGGAAUGCAAGGUUGCUCCCAUCAACACAUAUUACCCUUACAUCAAUUUUUUGGAUGAUCAUAACUGAGCUAUAUUAAUACCAUUGAAUUAGAUGGUUUUGCCUAGUUUGAGUGCAUGUGCAUCAACAAUGUUAGUCUGGAAAAACCAGAAAAACCAAUUUUAUUUUUGUUUCUGUUAUCUAGUAAAUCCAAUUGUGUUAUCUGAUUAUUACAUAGUCUAGCUACAUGUACCAAGAUAAUGGUUCUUACUCGUGGUCUUGAUUUGCCAAAGUGGCUGUAGCUAAAUUAAACACGCCGAGGAGUUUACUGGCCCGUUGUUGUGAUAGCUAUCAACUGAUCUGCUUACCGAACUUCUCACAAUUGGUCAUUAAUGAUCUUUUUUCUUGGGACAUAUUUUAUUUUGGUUUCUAUGAUUGAGUAAAUCCAACUGUGUUAUCUGACUAUUUUAGAUUGUUACUUAUUCCAGCUAUAUGUACCAAGAGAACGGUUCUUAGCGCCCUUGAUCUUGAUUUGCCAAAGUGGCUAUAGCUACAUUUAAACAUGCUGAGGAGUUUACUGGCCGGUUGUUGUGAUCACUGUUGACUAAUUUGCUUACUGAAUUUUUCACAAUUUUUCAGUUAGUAUAUAUAUUUUUCUUAAAUUUGUAAAUGAGAAGGAAGAGAAGAGGGAAAUGACAUAGGAUUUAGCCAUUUCGCGAGAGCCUUCUCUUACAUUAAAAAUAAAAAAAGAAAAAGGCUUUACCUUCCAGGCAAGUUGCAUUGAUUCCCCUGCUGCUUGCAUCUGUUGGUGCCCACACUUUUCUUUCUUCACCUGUUUCUUGGCAUAUUUUUGUUGAAAUUGUUAUAUAUCAAUUCUUCUUUUGGUUUAUUUAGGGGCUCUUUAGUAACCCUUUUAACAUGAUUUGAUUCAGUUGAACCUUUUGUGGUCUUUUACUCCAAUGUCCAAUGAUUUGAUAUAGUGUGUUGAUUAAUUUGAUUUAAUUGUGUUGAUCUUAUCAACAUAUCAUUUGAAUUUUUUGGAUUUAAUCUCUGAAAUGAGUUUUGAAUUUAAUCUCUAAAAUGGGUUUUGGGUUUAAUGAGAUUUUGGUCUUUUGGAUUUAAUCUCUGAAAUGAUUCUGUUUAGUUCCUUACCAGUUCUAUUUGUCUUUGAUGUUAAAAUGGUUGGCUUAUGUUGCAAUUUGCAUGUAUAGUGAUGCUAGAAAGUCAUCCUUUGCAAAUAUGCAUAUAGAUAUUCAUAGCUCCCUGUGUCAGCUAUGUGAUUCUGGCUCAUCUCUUGCAUACAAAUUAAAUAUACUCUCAUUCCAUCAACUGUAAAUAGCCAAGAGUCAUGGUCUGUUGAGCUUGCUAGUAGAACUGGUAGUGAUUCAAGUGAAGAAUUUUAGGGUGGAAUACAAGCAUUGUUUUUCCUGAUAUUUCCCCAUAACAGCUUAAAGGGGUUUGUUUCUACAACAAACAUGUAAUUAGUUAGUACUAAAUGUGUGAUGCUCUUAAGCUCUUUGGUAUAAUGCAAGAAAUCUAUCACAUUGACCCUAAUUUUGUGACCUUCCUUGGUGCUCUUUCAGCUUGUUCUCCCAUGCUGGGCUGAUAGAUAAGGGUCUCGAGAUCUUUAGAAGCGUCAAGUCAGAACACUUUCCUAAAACCGAAGAUGGAGCUGAUCUUUUGGGAUGAGCAAGGCAUUUGAAUUAGGUUCGGGAGUUUGUAAAGGCAAUGCCUUAGAAACCCAACUCAAAUGUGUGGGCUGCUCUUCUGAGCUCAUCUAAGAUUACAUGGUUAAAUAGAGAUGGUCUGUAUAGCUGCCGGUGAACGUUUUAAACUCAAUUCUUAUGCGAUAGUGUAAGUGAUAUAAGGGAUAAAAAGAAUGAAGGUAAAAAAGAUCUAUCUUUCAAAGGAGUGUUACUGUAUGGCUCAGAAAUUUUACAAUAAGAAACGUUUGAACAAAUGUUAAUUGUAGCAUAAAUAAUUUCACUCAUGAUGAAUAAACAAGAUCUCCACAACAAGUGAUAACAUGGAUAUCCUCUUAUUGGUAAGAAGUCAAGGAACAGAAGAGCUGCAUCUCUAAUAGCCACAUUGAAUCUGAGGUCCGAGAUAUGUAGAGAGGAAUCAAGCUCAUAAAAGAACUCCAGGAGGGAUACAAUUUGCAAAAAUAGGGGGUGAAGUGGAAUUUGAUAGUUCCCAACUUUAUGUAGAUGUAGCGAUUUUCACAACUCAAAACAUGGUUAGAUUUGGAACAGCUAUUUUCUCCUUAAAUAAGCAUGUUAAACAUCCCUAUCUAAACCACUACAAGGUUCUUAUACUUCUUAAUUAUAGAGUUUUUCACCCAACUCUCAAAUUUAAUAAAAUGUAGAGUCUAACCAAAGGAAACCCUUUUGGUAACUGAUUUAUUACAAAUAAAUUAUAUUGAAUUUAAACAGGAUUGAUG